CCUACGGGAGGCAGCAGUGGGGAAUAUUGGUCAAUGGGCGCUAGCCUGAACCAGCCAAGCCGCGUGAAGGAUGACUGCCCUAUGGUUGGUAAACUUCUUUUAUAUGGACAUAAAGUGCAAUAUUUAUACUGCUUUGCAUGUACCUUAUGAAUAAGGAUCGGCUAACUACGUGCCAGCCGCCGCGGUCAUACGGCGGAUCCGAGCGUUAUCCGGAUUUAUUGGGUUUAACGGGAGCGUAGGCGGGGUGUUAAGUUAGUUGGGAAAGUGUGCGGCUCAACCGUUAAAUUGCAGUUGAUAAUGGCAUCCUUGAGUACAGUAGAGGGAGGCGGAAUUCGUGGUGUAGCGGUGAAA
rnacentral:rRNA from 1 species